GCUCCAGACUCCUACGGGAGGCAGCAGUGGGGAAUAUUGCACAAUGGGGGAAACCCUGAUGCAGCAACGCCGCGUGAGUGAAGAAGUAUUUCGGUAUGUAAAGCUCUAUCAGCAGGGAAGAAGAUGACGGUACCUGACCAAGAAGCCCCGGCUAACUACGUGCCAGCAGCCGCGGUAAUACGUAGGGGGCAAGCGUUAUCCGGAUUUACUGGGUGUAGAGGGAGCGCAGACGGCAGUGCAAGUCUGGAGUGAAAGCCCGGGGCCCAACCCCGGAACUGCUCUGGAAACUGUGCGGCUGGAGUGCAGGAGAGGUAAGUGGAAUUCCUAGUGUAGCGGUGAAAUGCGUAGAUAUUAGGAGGAACACCAGUGGCGAAGGCGGCUUACUGGACUGUAACUGACGUUGAGGCUCGAAAGCGUGGGGAGCAAACAGGAUUAGAUACCCGCGUAC
rnacentral:rRNA from 1 species